rnacentral:rRNA from 1 species
CUUACGCUGCUAAUACUGCAGUCGAGCGGAUCUGAGGGAGCUUGCUCCCGAUGAUCAGCGGCGGACGGGUGAGUAACACGUGGGCAACCUGCCUGUAAGACUGGGAUAACUCCGGGAAACCGGGGCUAAUACCGGAUAAUUCAUUCCCUCACAUGAGGGAAUGCUGAAAGACGGUUUCGGCUGUCACUUACAGAUGGGCCCGCGGCGCAUUAGCUAGUUGGUGAGGUAACGGCUCACCAAGGCAACGAUGCGUAGCCGACCUGAGAGGGUGAUCGGCCACACUGGGACUGAGACACGGCCCAGACUCAUACGGGAGGCAGCAGUAGGGAAUCUUCCGCAAUGGACGAAAGUCUGACGGAGCAACGCCGCGUGAGCGAAGAAGGCCUUCGGGUCGUAAAGCUCUGUUGUCAGGGAAGAACAAGUGCCGGAGUAACUGCCGGUACCUUGACGGUACCUGACCAGAAAGCCACGGCUAACUACGUGCCAGCAGCCGCGGUAAUACGUAGGUGGCAAGCGUUGUCCGGAAUUAUUGGGCGUAAAGCGCGCGCAGGCGGUCCUUUAAGUCUGAUGUGAAAGCCCACGGCUCAACCGUGGAGGGUCAUUGGAAACUUGGGGGACUUGAGUGCAGAAGAGGAAGAGCGGAAUUCCACGUGUAGCGGUAAAAUGGCGUAAAAA